UACGUAGGGUGCAAGCGUUGUCCGGAAUUAUUGGGCGUAAAGAGCUCGUAGGCGGUUUGUCGCGUCGAAUGUGAAAACCCGGGGCUCAACCCCGGGCCUGCAUUCGAUACGGGCAGACUAGAGUUCGGUAGGGGAGUCUGGAAUUCCUGGUGUAGCGGUGAAAUGCGCAGAUAUCAGGAGGAACACCAGCGGCGAAGGCGGCGCUCUGGGCCGGAACUGACGCUGAGGAGCGAAAGCGUGGGGAGCGAACAGG
rnacentral:rRNA from 1 species